GUUUUAUAAAAGCCAGCACAAACUAAUAUAUUUUACUACAGUUUUUUUCUGUUUAAUGUUCAGUUUAUAAAGGUUAAAAUUUAAAAUCUAGUCAGUCUUAACUAUCUUUAUUAGACAUUGAGAUUCGCUACACUGUAUAUUGUCCGCUAAGACAUCAUUACCUGACACAUGAUAAGAAUUAAUAGUUUUUCAAGUAAUUGCUUAUCUCUGACGCAAAAUUCAGUACAAUUGCAGCAGCUUCCAUCUUAAUCUUAAGCAAAUGUUUCGUUGACCUAUAAGUUUUGAUUUCUGUUAUUUUGGUAUCUUGUGGAGAGUUGUCUUAUUGGCAAUCAUACAACAUCUUCUUUUUUAUAUUCAUGUUCUCUGAUUCAAUAUUUAGAAAUUUAGAACUGCUAGCAUUUAAUGCUAGACUGUCACUUUUUAGUUAAAAGACAUUUAUCCUAAAUAUGACGUUAAGAAGAGCAUUAGCAUGCACCUAGUAUCCUUAGUUGGUAAAAUAAC
rnacentral:lncRNA from 1 species